rnacentral:lncRNA from 1 species
GUACCUUGCGCAAUCUUGAAAAAUAAAUUAGAAGAUUUUAAAACACUAAUAUUGUUGAUGCUGCUUGGCAUUUCAAAAUAGGCAUGCCAUAUCCAUAGAUCAUAAUCUGAAACCGCUUCGAGAAUAAUAGUUGGUGACCCGCUACGACCUGUAAAUUAUUGUGCCCAUGCUGUUGGACAAUUUUUCCACUUCCAAUGCAUACAAUCAAGACUGCCUAACAUUCGAGGAAAUCCA